UCGAGGAUCUUCGGCAAUGGGCGAAAGCCUGACCGAGCGACGCCGCGUGCGGGAUGAAGGCCCUUGGGUUGUAAACCGCUGUCAGAGGGGAUGAAAUGCCAGAGAGUUCUCUCUUUGGUUUGACAUAGCCUCAGAGGAAGCACGGGCUAAGUUCGUGCCAGCAGCCGCGGUAAUACGAACUGUGCAAACGUUAUUCGGAAUCACUGGGCUUAAAGGGUGCGUAGGCGGCUGUCUAAGCAGGGUGUGAAAGCCCCCGGCUCAACCGGGGAAUUGCGUUCUGAACUGGACGGCUGGAGUGGGAUAGGGGUGUGUGGAACUUCCGGUGGAGCGGUGAAAUGUGUUGAUAUCGGAAGGAACGCCGGUGGCGAAAGCGACACACUGGGUCUCAACUGACGCUGAGGCACGAAAGCCAGGGGAGCGAACG
rnacentral:rRNA from 1 species